rnacentral:rRNA from 1 species
GACGAACCGUGCGACUGUUGUUCGGAAUCACUGGGCAUAAAGGGCGCGUAGGCGGCUUGUCAAGUCAGGGGUGAAAUCCGGCAGCUUAACUGUCGAAGUGCCUUUGAUACUGUGGAACUUGAGUACAGACGAGGUAGGCGGAAUUGACGGUGUAGCGGUGAAAUGCUUAGAUAUCGUCAAGAACACCGAUAGCGAAGGCAGCUUACUAGACUGUAACUGACGCUGAGGCACGAAGGUGUGGGGAUCAAACAGG